GUGGGGAAUAUUGCACAAUGGGGGAAACCCUGAUGCAGCGACGCCGCGUGGAGGAAGAAGGUCUUCGGAUUGUAAACUCCUGUUGUUGAGGAAGAUAAUGACGGUACUCAACAAGGAAGUGACGGCUAACUACGUGCCAGCAGCCGCGGUAAAACGUAGGUCACAAGCGUUGUCCGGAAUUACUGGGUGUAAAGGGAGCGCAGGCGGGAAGACAAGUUGGAAGUGAAAUCUAUGGGCUCAACCCAUAAACUGCUUUCAAAACUGUUUUUCUUGAGUAGUGCAGAGGUAGGCGGAAUUCCCGGUGUAGCGGUGGAAUGCGUAGAUAUCGGGAGGAACACCAGUGGCGAAGGCGGCCUACUGGGCACCAACUGACGCUGAGGCUCGAAAGUGUGGGUAGCAAACAGGAUUAGAAACCCGAGUAGUCC
rnacentral:rRNA from 1 species